rnacentral:rRNA from 1 species
GACAAUCCUGCAGAGAUGCGGUCAGUGCCUUCGGGAAUUCACAUACAGGUGCUGCAUGGCUGUCGUCAGCUCGUGUCGUGAGAUGUUGGGUUAAGUCCCGCAACGAGCGCAACCCUUUUCCUUAUUUGCCAGCGGGUUAAGCCGGGAACUUUAAGGAGACUGCCGGUGACAAACUGGAGGAAGGGGGGGACGACGUCAAGUCAUCAUGGCCCUUACGACCAGGGCUACACACGUGCUACAAUGGUGGGUACAGAGGGUUGCUACGCCGCGAUGUGAUGCUAAUCUCAAAAAGCCUAUCGUAGUCCGGAUUGGAGUCUGCAACUCGACUCCGUGAAGUCGGAAUCUCUAGUAAUCGCAGAUCAAAAUGCCGCGGGGAAUACGUUCCCGGGUCUUGUACACCCCG